AUGUCAGAAGGACACCUUUUGGUUAAUUGUUUGUAUCUUUCCAAAGCUUCAUAGAGGGAUUCACCUUCUUUCUGUCUAAAGGUUUGGACAUCCACUCUGAGCUU